rnacentral:rRNA from 1 species
AUUGAACGCUGGCGGCAGGCCUAACACAUGCAAGUCGAGCGGCAGCGGGAGGAAGCUUGCUUCCUCGCCGGCGAGCGGCGGACGGGUGAGUAAUGUCUGGGAAACUGCCCGAUGGAGGGGGAUAACUACUGGAAACGGUAGCUAAUACCGCAUAACGUCGCAAGACCAAAGUGGGGGACCUUAGGGCCCCACACCAUCGGAUGUGCCCAGAUGGGAUUAGCUAGUAGGUGGGGUAAUGGCUCACCUAGGCGACGAUCCCUAGCUGGUCUGAGAGGAUGACCAGCCACACUGGAACUGAGACACGGUCCAGACUCCUACGGGAGGCAGCAGUGGGGAAUAUUGCACAAUGGGCGCAAGCCUGAUGCAGCCAUGCCGCGUGUAUGAAGAAGGCCUUCGGGUUGUAAAGUACUUUCAGCGAGGAGGAAGGCGAUAAGGUUAAUAACCUUGUCGAUUGACGUUACUCGCAGAAGAAGCACCGGCUAACUCCGUGCCAGCAGCCGCGGUAAUACGGAGGGUGCAAGCGUUAAUCGGAAUUACUGGGCGUAAAGCGCACGCAGGCGGUCUGUCAAGUCGGAUGUGAAAUCCCCGGGCUCAACCUGGGAACUGCAUCCGAAACUGGCAGGCUAGAGUCUUGUAGAGGGGGGUAGAAUUCCAGGUGUAGCGGUGAAAUGCGUAGAGAUCUGGAGGAAUACCGGUGGCGAAGGCGGCCCCCUGG